GAUGAACGCUGGCGGCGUGCUUAACACAUGCAAGUCGAGCGAAGCUACUUUACUUUGAAUUUCUUCGGAAUGUAAGAGUGAUUUGACUGAGCGGCGGACGGGUGAGUAACGCGUGGGCAACCUGCCUCAUACGAGGGGGAUAACAGUUAGAAAUGACUGCUAAUACCGCAUAAGACCACAGUACCGCAUGGUAUGGUGGUAAAAACUCCGGUGGUAUGAGAUGGGCCCCGUGUCCUGAUUUAGGUAGUUGGUGGGGUAACGCCUACCGAAGCCCGACGAUCAGUAGCCGACCUGACGAGGGUGACCGGCCACAGUUGGGACUGAGACACGGGCCCAAACUCCUACGGGAGG
rnacentral:rRNA from 1 species